CAUGUAAAUUCUUUUUUGCUCGCAAUGUUAAAAUCCGCAUACUUCAUCAACAAUCUCAUCCAUAAAUUCGACUGUAGCUGUAUCCAUAGAGAUAUUAUAUCCUUGGCGUUUAUACUUAUCGCUUAACUCAACCAAAUGAGGUAUUGCCAUGCCGGUAGCUUGGUAUAAUAUAGAUCCACUAAGCCUGUUGUUAGCAUAUGACUCGCAAGAAGUUCAUUUUACGUACUCAAUAUCAAGCUUCUUUCUCAUGCGUCGAAUCAUAGCAAUCAGGUGUGUUUUUCUUCGAAUAAUUAUACCUUUGCGAAAAGCAGGCGCACGUUUAAUUCUUUCUACCGACAUUUCAACAUAAGGAGAACGAA